rnacentral:rRNA from 1 species
UAGGGAAUCUUCGGCAAUGGACGGAAGUCUGACCGAGCAACGCCGCGUGAGUGAUGAAGGUCUUCGGAUCGUAAAACUCUGUUAUUAGGGAAGAACAUAUGUGUAAGUAACUGUGCACAUCUUGACGGUACCUAAUCAGAAAGCCACGGCUAACUACGUGCCAGCAGCCGCGGUAAUACGUAGGUGGCAAGCGUUAUCCGGAAUUAUUGGGCGUAAAGCGCGCGUAGGCGGUUUUUUAAGUCUGAUGUGAAAGCCCACGGCUCAACCGUGGAGGGUCAUUGGAAACUGGAAAACUUGAGUGCAGAAGAGGAAAGUGGAAUUCCAUGUGUAGCGGUGAAAUGCGCAGAGAUAUGGAGGAACACCAGUGGCGAAGGCGACUUUCUGGUCUGUAACUGACGCUGAUGUGCGAAAGCGUGGGGAUCAAACAGGAUUAGAUACCCUGGCAGUCCACGCCGUAAACGAUGAGUGCUAGGUGUUAGACCCUUUCCGGGGUUUAGUGUCGCAGCUAACGCAUUAAGCACUCCGCCUGGGGAGUACGACCGCAAGGUUG